rnacentral:lncRNA from 1 species
UUGCAAACUUUUGAGGUAUGUUUUAUCCAAAAUUUGUUUAUUGGGAUUCAUAUGAUGUGUUUUAGGAGGUAGCCUUAGCAUCUUCAUGGGCUUGUUUAUUGGAGCACUGGACAACCCUCUAAGGGUAUUGGAGAUUGUAAAUCAUGGGAUCAUAAAAUCAUGCAGAAUUCAUAAUUAAAUUCAUAUAUGUAAGGUUGUCAAUAGUGCACAAUCAAUAGACAUCACGGCGCAGAGUUGCUGGUGGCCGCUAUUUGGACUUGGUUGUGGCACUCUUUCAAGUAGCGGCUUUGGUGGUUGGUUGCUAUAUAUAUGCUAAUAUGCAUGAAAAAUAGCAUGUAAGAUGAAAAGAACCCUUUAAAUCACUAAAAACAGUUGUGCAUUGGAGGCUGCAAAGAUGAAAAGCAAAAUGUUGCAGAAAGAGAUAAAAACUUGAGAAUUGUUAAUAUUACUUGUUUUAUAAAUCUGUUCUCUGCCUUCUUUUUUUUACCAUCAGUUUUGUUAAUGUUUUCAAUGCUUCUGUGUGCUUGUAGAUGGUCCAAAAGCUGCAUGUGCUGGUUGUGCGGGAUUUGUGGCGUUCUCCAUCGUAAUAGAGUUGACUUAGACAAAUUUUUUAUUCUUCUAUCAUUGUCUGAGUUCUUGAUGAAAAUAUUUUGCUAGACACACAUGACAUGGAGCAUACAAAUUGCAGCAUUAAUUUCACUCGGAUGAUUUAUUUGUAUACAAUGUCAUUUGCGUAUGCAUUCUCAAAACUGGGGUAAGCUAUGAUGUAAUGACAUGAUUAAGUGACAUUUGAUGUGCUAACUCAGUUGUAACUUGUAAGAGCUUAGCUUUGCACUUCACAGUGCCGAGUUCAGAUCUCCUCGGGGACAGUUGA